rnacentral:lncRNA from 1 species
GUGAGAAUCUACUUUUUGAAACAAGUUGAAAAAAAGCAUUUGUCUACAAAAGAACAUCAGAUACUGCACUUUUUACAAAUUGAAUGUUUGUGGCAAGCCUGCAUCGAGAAAGUCCAUUGAUGCCAUUUUUUUCAAACAGCCUUUCUAUUGCUUGAGACACAACAAUAUUGAAAUUAGGCAAAUUGAUAGCCCUACAAUGGCCUCUAAGUGUUCACGUGAAAAGAAGAAUCACAGACCUCUCAUUUGAAAUUCAUGUUGUUUUCAUGCCUGCUAACACAACAUCCAUUCUGCAGCGCAUGGAUCAAGGGUUAAUUUUGAUUUUCAAUGUUAUUAUUUAAAUAUAUUUCAUAAUGCUAUGGCUGCCAUAGAUAGUGAUUCCAUUAAUGGAUCUGAAAUUGAAGGAAAAGUAAAGAUGUUUCUGGAAGGCACCAGGAGUCCUGUCUGCACUGAGCACCAUGAAGUUCACCUGCAUUGAGUUCUUUCCCUUUGUACAACACUUACUCCCAGACCAAAAAAUAACUCCUUCUCUCCAAUCUGUGUUCCAGGCAAACCAAUAGACUCCAGUUGUCUCCCGAAAUGCUUAAAGUGCUUUUCCAAUAUCCACUAUGUUUGGGCAACAUAUUAAAAAUAUACAACAAAA